CACGUAGGGCGCAAGCGUUGUCCGGAAUUAUUGGGCGUAAAGAGCGUGUAGGCGGCCAGACAGGUCCGUUGUGAAAACUGGAGGCUCAACCUCCAGACGUCGAUGGAAACCGUCUGGCUAGAGUCCGGAAGAGGAGAGUGGAAUUCCUGGUGUAGCGGUGAAAUGCGCAGAUAUCAGGAAGAACACCCGUGGCGAAAGCGGCUCUCUGGGACGGUACUGACGCUGAGACGCGAAAGCGUGGGGAGCGAACAGG
rnacentral:rRNA from 1 species